AGAGCCUGCGGAUCUUCAAUGCCUUCUGGAACACACUUCUUGUUCUCUGGGAGAGAUUCAAGCUUUUCCACCAGGGCUUUCAAACCCUUCAGUUCAAAUUCUGUGAGGAGAAUGACGGGAAAUUCUUCAUCAAGGGAUACUCUCUCAUGGGAAAUCAAGGCACUGCUUGAAGAUAGAGAAAUCUCUAAGGAAGAGAUGAGCAUUUAACAAUUUAAGGACCAGUUCUGAAGAAAAGUUUCAAAAUCAAAGCAGUCAUUUCUGGAGCAUCGACUUCAUUUAGAUCUUCCGUCCCACUGCCGAUGCACGUCAGUAAGAUAGAGACAUCACAGAACAAACAACUUAAUUCAAGGAUUAAAAUUCAUGGAGAUUUACUCGAGUCAACAGGCUGGAUGCUGAGAUCAGUUAAAAGAAAGACAAGCAAGUAUCUGGAACAGUAUUACUCAAGCAGAACAAAACAACAUAGCUUUGUAAAGGUAAAUAAUGUACUUUUACUCCUGCAGAGAAUUUGAUAAAUGCCAAAGCGAAAGAUCCAGUAGAUAUAGUAGAUCUGGGCUUUUGAACUGCAGUUCUCAGCUAAAUAAUUAUUUUAAGGUUAAGACUCUGCCAAGAAAUAAAAAGCAAGUGUCUGACAAAGUAUAAAUCUGUCACUCCUGGAGAGAAAAGCCCUGAAUGUCAAUGUCAGAGAUUUUUAUCAGCAUGCUAAUACCUGAAGUCAAGAGAUAGCAGGCAGGUAGGUGAACCACAUGCUGUCAGCAGACAGCACUUCACUAAACUGGAAGAGGUGAUCUGUUCAAGACAGCAACAACAGCCCAGGGCCUGUAACCAGCAUCCCUGCAGCAGGGCCACACAUCAGAUCAGCCCAGCAGCCUUACUGAUAACAAACAUGUUGUGUUUUUAGGAGGGUUCAUUUUCUGUCAGGUCACUGAACUGAUUCAGCUCACAGGACAAGAGUUCACAAACCAGAUUCUCAUGUCACAAGAGAAGUAUAUUUCUUUUGUUACCUUGAAACGGCCAUGCUGAAUUAACAGUGAAACAGCUGAGAACAGUGUCACUUUCCAGCAGGCCCACAGCUGAAGGGACACAGACAAGAAGACCCAAACAUCACUGCCACCAAACCAUUUCCCAGAUAGCUGGGGCUGACUCAAUGCCCGUGCAGUUGACACUUUGGUCUUGCAAAAUAAUCCUUUUCCAUCCAGACACUGGACAUCUAUGGCUCCCAGUGAGCUUUUAUAUGAUUGGAAUAUGUCCCAGCCAGUAACUGGAUGGAGACACAUUUCAUGGGGAUCACCAAAUCAUUAUCAGUAAUUACUGAGCUGGGCUUGAAUUCACACUGGUGAUUUAGCUGGAAAAGGUCCCAUCUCAAUAUCCUGAACUAUCCACUCUCCGUAUCUAAUUUGUUCUGAAAUCACACCUCAGUGAUCUGGCACCCCCACCUUGCCAACAGGAAGAGCCUCUUUCUGUGCCAAUGGUUUUGACAACAGGAGGUUGGUUCUUUAUUUCCUAAGGAAUGCAGUUACCAGAGUUUAAUCGUUGCCUUUUUUUUAACAUUGCUAAUCCAAGAGGCUAAUUUACCCUUUGUUCUCAGAUGAUCUUACGUGAAAAUUCUUCCACGUGGAGUUCCUGCUUUACUGUCCCUUCUGAUCAGUCUCCAAAAGCAAAGAUGCAAAAUGUGCAGUACUGAAAUUCUAAGGGACCCCAAGAAAUUUCUCUCACACAGACCUUCAGGUCCUUCUGCUCAUACCUUCGCCAACUACUUCUUCUUAGAAUUAUGCUGCUAAGUGGUCAUUUCCCCUCUUACACUUCCACGCAGUCCAGGUUCACUCCAAUUUGCAUCGCAAAGUGGGAAACACAGAAAUACUUUAGUCCUCUCCCACACUUGGUAUGUAUUGGUUGAGAUUUAGCUGGUGUCUGCACUACUUUCAGCAAUUCUUUGCUUAAAAGCAGGGAGGUAACAAGGUCCACAGGCUUAUUCCAGUAAAAGAAGAGAAAGAAGCCAGGUUUAGUGACCAAACUGCACUCUGUAGAGGAGACACGCUAUAAAAGGACUAAAUAUCCAUCCUACCAGAGCAUAUUUACAAUGCAUGCAUUUCUGGCUACUAAGGUACUGUGCCAAACACAGCAGUAAAUCCUCAGCCGUUUGGCAGAUCAUCUCAACACAAACAGUACUGAAACCAAGAAAUAAAUGCAUCCAAAAAUUAUUUCCCUGGGAUCCACUUGCUUAGGAAUGCUCAAUAAAUACCAGAGUAAGUUGGUGCUUCACUAAAAUGCUUAAGAGUCAAAACCUCCCCACCUCAAAACAAACAGUUUGUUAGAAUUUCUACAAUUCUUCAAUUUAACUUAUUAUCUUCUCUGCAGAAAACAAAGCAGGAACUAGCCUAGGGUGCUAGCAUCAGUUUGAACACAGUCAAAGGAUUCACUCACCAAUUAACAUUGAUUCUUUCUGGUACUCUUUGCUGAGGUGGCAGCGCUGGGUCACACAGGACACGUAUCUCUCCAGAACAUACCAGCACAUUUCAUAGUAGAAAGGAUAACGGAAUUUGGCGUGCACCUGAAAGCAAGAGCGAGACUGUCAGUCCACGGGGAAGGGAAGUUUGCAGCAUAAGGGCCAGUCAUCAUUCUCCUCAUGUUAUCAAGAGCACAAACAGUGUGCAGGGGGAGGGGAGGGAGAGUGGGAGCCGCGUGAGCCGUACGCCUUCAGCAUACAAAAUGAGAGCCUGCCUGCCAUGAUAGCAUCAUUUCUUGGUUCAGUAAUUUGUAUCCUCCUGGGGUGGCGGGAGAGGAAAGGGUUUGUGUUCUUGUGAAAUCGUGGAAGUGAUGGGCAGCCCCCACAGCAUUAUCUACCUACAGUAUAAACAUAGGGUGGUCACAUACAGAUGUUCGUCACCAGAAUUCAAGUUAAAAUAGAAGCAGUUUUUUUCUUUUCCCAAACACUAUCACAUGAUUUUUUAUCAAAAUGGCAGCAUUACCUAAAAUGACUCAAGCAGGAAAUGCAUCUUCUUUUAAUUAUCAUCUUCCCAACAGUUUGAUUAAACAAAUGAACAAAUUCUUAAUUACUGGUAAAUACACAUUAAAAGCAAAAAAUCUGUCUUGUG